rnacentral:lncRNA from 1 species
GCCUCUUCCUAACUGUUGGGAGUGGCCAUGAAAUCGGUUCUGGCCAAUAAGACAUAAGCAAAGGUCGGCUGGUCUUGUCUCUUCCUCCACUCUUCUUCCUUCUGCCUGGAACACAGACCUGGUGGCUAGUUCUGCAGCGGCCAUUUAAUGAUGAUAAGGAGGAUAAUAAAUAUUUAGUGAAGAGCUGAUUGAGAUCAAGU